rnacentral:rRNA from 1 species
AAUAGAUACCCGGGUAGUCCACGCCGUAAACGUUGGAUACUAGGUGUGGCGGUUAUACCAAUGACUGCCGUGCCGAAGCUAACGCAUUAAGUAUCCCGCCUGGGGAGUACGGCCGCAAGGCUAAAACUCAAAGGAAUCGACGGGUCCCCGCACAAGCGGCGGAGCAUGCGGCUUAAUUCGAUGCAACCCGAAGAACCUUACCUGGGUUUGACAUCACGGGAAAAGCUGUAGAAAUACAGUGUCCAUUAGGGCCCGUGACAGGUGGUGCAUGGCUGUCGUCAGCUCGUGUCGUGAGAUGUUGGGUUAAGUCCCGCAACGAGCGCAACCCUUGUCCUAUGUUGCCAGCGGUUCGGCCGGGGACUCAUAGGAGACUGCCGGGGAUAACUCGGAGGAAGGUGAGGACGACGUCAAGUCAUCAUGCCCCUUAUAUCCAGGGCUGCACGCAUGCUACAAUGGCCGGUACAACGGGCAGCGACCCCGCGAGGGUGAGCGAAUCCUAAAAAGCCGGUCCUAGUUCGGAUUGAAGUCUGCAACUCGACUUCA